rnacentral:rRNA from 1 species
UACGUAGGGGCCUAGCGUUGUCCGGAUUUAUUGGGCGUAAAGAGCUCGUAGGCGGUUCGGUAAGUCAGGUGUGAAAUCUCGGGGCUUAACUCCGAAACUGCAUUCGAUACUGCCGUGCUUGAGGACUGGAGAGGAGACUGGAAUUUACGGUGUAGCGGUGAAAUGCGUAGAUAUCGUAAGGAAGACCAGUGGCGAAGGCGGGUCUCUGGACAGUUCCUGACGCUGAGGCACGAAGGUCAGGGGAGCAAACGGG